rnacentral:rRNA from 1 species
UACAGAGGGGGCGAGCGUUGUUCGGAAUUACUGGGCGUAAAGGGCGCGUAGGCGGCCAACUAAGUCAGACGUGAAAUCCCUCGGCUCAACCGGGGAACUGCGUCUGAUACUGGAUGGCUUGAAUUCGGGAGAGGGAUGUGGAAUUCCUGGUGUAGCGGUGAAAUGCGCAGAUAUCAGGAGGAACACCUAUUGCGAAGGCAGCUCGCUGGGACGUAACUGACGCUGGAGACGCGAAAGCGUGGGGAGCAAACAGG